CAGCCGCCGCGGUAAUACCGGCGGCCCGAGUGGCGGUCACUAUUAUUGGGCUUAAAGCGUCCGUAGCCGGGUUGGGAAGUCCUCCGGGAAAUCUGGCCGCUUAAAGGUCAGAAUGCCGGAGGAUACUCCCAGCCUAGGGAGCGGGAGAGGCCGAGGGUAUUCCCGGAGUAGGGGUGAAAUCCUAUAAUCCCGGGAGGACCACCUGUGGCGAAGGCGCUCGGCUGGAACGCGUCCGACGGUGAGGGACGAAGGCCAGGGGAGCAAACCGGAUUAGAUACCCGGGUAGUCCUGGCUGUAAACGAUGCGGACUUUGUGUCGGACAAGCUAUGAGCUUGUCCGGUGCCGGAGGGAAACCGUUAAGUCCGCCGCCUGGGGAGUACGGCCGCAAGGCUGAAACUUAAAGGAAUUGGCGGG
rnacentral:rRNA from 1 species